GGAUUAUUUCCAGCCUGUGUGUCAUCACCUGAGGUGCCCAGCUCAGCCAGACAAACCCACCACGCCAGCAUCUCCUUCUACAUCAAGACCCUCACUCUACACCACUUCCCACCUGCUAUGGACAAAUAGAUUUUCAGUCCCUGAUUCUGAGAGUUCAAAGACUACCACAAACACUACAACUGCAAAGGAAAUGGACAAAAAUGAGAAUGAAGAAGCAGAUUUGGAUGAGCAGUCCUCUAAGAGGCUGUCUGUCCGAGAGAGGAGGUGGCCCAAGGAAUGAUGAAGAGGCACAGACAUCAAUUUCUGGUCAAAGGAUGAGGAUGAAACUGAUGGCUCUGAAGAGGUCAAAGAAACAUGG